GACGUAGGGCGCGAGCGUUGUCCGGAUUUAUUGGUCGUAAAGAGCUCGUAGGCGGCUUGUUGCGUCAGCUGUGAAAUCCCGCGGCUCAACUGCGGGUCUGCAGUCGAUACGGGCAGGCUAGAGUUCGGUAGGGGAGACUGGAAUUCCUGGUGUAGCGGUGAAAUGCGCAGAUAUCAGGAGGAACACCGAUGGCGAAGGCAGGUCUCUGGGCCGAUACUGACGCUGAGGAGCGAAAGCGUGGGGAGCGAACAGG
rnacentral:rRNA from 1 species